rnacentral:lncRNA from 1 species
AUUCAGUUGUGUAUCGAAAUGUUUUGGUUCAGCUUUUUGUUAAUAUCUUUCUUAAUUACUAACGUAUAUCUUUUCAGCGAUUAUCGUGAGCGAUGUAAUAAUAACGACGAAUGUAUUGAUCAUCGAUUAAUUUAAACAACAGUGUGUGCGAUUGUGAUAAAUAUCAUAAAUGGAUCGAAAAUGAGUGCGUUCAAGUGGUAAAUACAAGUUUAAUUAUGAAAAAUGAGAUGGAUUUGUUGGAAAGGAAAGAUUUGGAAAUUUUUAUUGAAAAUUAUAAUGAAAAACUUUUUAAAAUACAAUCACUUGCUGGAAUAUUUGUAGCUGGUGUGUGUUUUUUAGCUGUGAUAUUAGUUAUGAUUUAUUGCUGUUAUGUUCGAAAUCAAGAUAACAAAUUAAAAAGGGAAGAAGAAAUUGUUUAAAGG